rnacentral:tRNA from 1 species
GGUCGGUUAGCUCAGUUGGUUGAGCUUGGUGCUGAUAACACCAAGGUUGUGAGUUCGAUCUCUGUUCGGUCC